rnacentral:rRNA from 1 species
GAUGAACGCUGGCGGCGUGCCUAACACAUGCAAGUCGAACGAACUCUAAUUUCGCACAACGAGAGCAGAGAUAUAAAUUUUGAAAUGCAUUUAUUUGCAGGUUCAAAAUUUGAUAUCUCUGGUAGGCGUUGUGCUCAAAGAGUUAGUGGCGGACGGGUGAGUAACACGUUAGUACCUGCCCUUUAGUGGGGAAUAACUCGGCGAAAGUCGAGCUAAUACCGCAUGUGGCCUGGACGUAAGA